AGCCUGCGGAUUUACGGCCUAUUCGUGGCCGCAGGCUUCCAGCCUGCGGAUUUACGUUCUAUUCGUGGCGUAGGCUUCCA
rnacentral:tRNA from 1 species